GCACUCACCUGUCCACUAAACAGCAACUUCAAUGUUGAAAGAUCUUUCAACAUUGAAGAUCUUUCAACAUUGAAGUUGCUGUUUAGUGGACAGGUGAGUGC